rnacentral:lncRNA from 1 species
UGUCAAAAUAUUCAUUAUCAUUAUUAUUGAAAAUUAGUUUUACAAAGCCAAUACAAGCUGAAAAAUUUGGUCAAAAUAGAGCAUAAAAAUUAACCCGAACAAUCAUAUUAAUGAUGCACUUUAUCAGUACACAAUCUACAUGCAAAAGGCAAAAUUACAUAUUACAUUGACCCUAAGUACAUUGCCAUAGCACCAUCCCAUAAUACAUACCAAUACUCUACAAUAAAUUAAGUAGAAUCCUAAAUCAAGUCCAGAUUAUAUAGACAACAACUUGAACAAUUAUCCACUUUGACCAAAAAUCACUCUUCUUAUUUGCUCCGGCAUCUGAUGAUCGUGCCACCUAAAAAUUCGCAUGCACCAAGAGUCUACAAUAAAUAAAAAUUACGAUUUGAAGAGGGUCUAAAGAUUUAGGCUAUCAAUAAAAUUGACAAAAUACACAUAUUUUAAGUAUGUGGCAGCAAUAAAACCUAUGACAUGGGUUUUUAUCAGUACAUGAUGUUUGAAAUAAUACAACACGCCCACAUCCACAAAAAUACACCAUUUUUCACAAUCUGAUUGCAGGAUUUGAGCUCGAUAAUUGGGGUAUAAGAAGAGAGUAGGCGAUGUCAAAAUAAGGUCUUUAAUAGGAAAAGAACAAGACUUUAUACAGGGAGUAGGUCUAUUAUGGCAGAUUUACAACGAGAGAAGAUGAGAGAAAUUAGGGCUCGAAUAGAGAAGAAAGGAAAAAAAAUGGAAUUUAGGUUUAUAUGUUGGUGGGUUUAUAAAGGGGUUGAGAUAAAAUUGUUUUUUACCGUUAUAAAGCCACAUUUUCCUAAAAAUUACUAAUUCAUGCGUUCAAUAUAAGUGGCUCUCGCAUUUUGUGCCAAGUAAAUGAGCAAUAUUUUAUAUACACUUAAGCCAAUAAAGUCAUGUAGACAAG